rnacentral:rRNA from 1 species
GAAUGAUGGGAAUUUAAACCUCUUCCAGAGUAUCAAUUGGAGGGCAAGUCUGGUGCCAGCAGCCGCGGUAAUUCCAGCUCCAAUAGCGUAUAUUAAAAUUGUUGCAGUUAAAAAGCUCGUAGUUGAAUUUCUGCUGCAUUGCAUUUUCUCCUAUACGAGUUUUUGCAUUGUGGCUUAUUUCGGUUAUAAAAUUUAUUUUAUUUCCGGAUGUUUACUUUGAGAAAAUUAGAGUGCUCAAAGCAGGCUUUUGCCUUGAAUAGUUUAGCAUGGAAUAAUAAAGUAGGACUUUGGUUCUAUUUUGUUGGUUUUAGGUACCAAAGUAAUGGUUAAUAGGAACAGUUGGGGGCAUUCGUAUUUAACUGUCAGAGGUGAAAUUCUUAGAUUUGUUAAAGACGAACUACUGCGAAAGCAUUUGCCAAGGAUGUUUUCAUUAAUCAAGAACGAAAGUUAGGGGAUCGAAGACGAUCAGAUACCGUCGUAGUCCUAACCAUAAACUAUGCCGACUAGAGAUUGGAGGUCGUCAGUUUUUACGACUCCUUCAGCACCUUGAGAGAAAU